GCUAAGAUCGGGCGACCUGGUGCCCGGCGCGUUUAGCCCGAGCUUAAAGUGGGGAAGUCCGGUGAGAAUCCGGCGCUGUUGCGCAGCGGUAUGAGGCCUUGAGCCUUGAGCCCGAAUGCCUGCCAGGGACGUCACGAACGU
rnacentral:ncRNA from 2 species